rnacentral:rRNA from 1 species
AAUGAACGCUGGCGGCAUGCCUAAUACAUGCAAGUCGAGCGAAAACACGAGGUGCUUUCUCCCCUGGCGUUAGCGGCGGACGGGUGAUUAACCCGUGGGUGACCUACCUAUAAGACUGGGUUAACUUCGGGAAACCUGAGCUAAUACCGGAUAAUAUAUUGAACCGCAUGGUUCAAUAGUCAAAGACGGUUUUGCUGUCACUUAUAGAUGGAUCCGCGUCGCAUUAGCUAGUUGGUAAGGUAACGGCUUACCAAGGCAACGAUGCGUAGCCGACCUGAGAGGGUGAUCAGCCACACUGGAACUGAGACACGGUCCAGACUCCUACGGGAGGCAGCAGUAGGGAAUCUUCCGCAAUGGGGGAAAGCCUGACGGAGCAACGCCGCGUGAGUGAUGAAGGUCUUCGGAUCGUAAAGCUCUGUUAGUAGGGAAGAACAAAUGUGUAAGUAACUAUGCACGUCUUGACGGUACCUAAUCAGAAAGCCACGGCUAACUACGUG